AAUGGGGGAAACCCUGAUCCAGCAAUGCCGCGUGGGUGAUGAAGGCCUUCGGGUUGUAAAGCACCUUCGGACGGAACGAAAUCGCAAGGGUGAAUAUCCCUUGUGGAUGACGGUACCGUAAGAAGAAGCACCGGCUAACUACGUGCCAGCAGCCGCGGUAAUACGUAGGGUGCGAGCGUUAAUCGGAAUUACUGGGCGUAAAGCGUGCGCAGGCGGCUUCGCAAGUCAGACGUGAAGUCCCCGGGCUUAACCUGGGAAUNGCGUUUGAAGCUACGGAGCUAGAGUGUGGCAGAGGGAGGUAGAAUUCCACGUGUAGCAGUGAAAUGCGUAGAUAUGUGGAGGAAUACCGAUGGCGAAGGCAGCCUCCUGGGCCAACACUGACGCUCAUGCACGAAAGCGUGGGGAGCAAA
rnacentral:rRNA from 1 species